GGUUUCUUCGCCGUUCACACGCAGGCUGCCUGCCGACCAUAUGCAUUAGUAUUUCACGAAUGGUAUUCAUCAUUAAAUUGUAUACUAAUAAAAGACCAAUCAAAUGGCAAAGCUACGGAGACCCUAUUAAUUGUUGAAGAAUUGUCUCGGCUCUUUGCCAAUAAAGAAAUAGCUUACAUGAGCGGCAUCCAGAGCCAUGAAAAGUAACGCGUCCCUGUCUCUGGUCCGGAAGGUGAGCGCCAGACUGAAGUGUCUGCUGUCAGGCGCCCGCAGAGAAGACCGCUUCAGUUCCACGUAGCCUCCGCCCAGGGCGCACAGCGCCCCGGGGCCGCCGCGGGGGCCCACCCAUCUGGUCAUUGAACAAAAAGGUGAUCAGUCAGACCAGUGAGACUAGGUGUGGUCGGCUUUUUACAUCUGCGCCGUUGUGCAUGUGGCGUGGUAGAUGUCGCCACAAAAUCUUACUACCAGUAAUACAUCGUAUGUUCAACUCAAUUGUCAACUCACCUUUCG